GCAUCGGUGGUCCAAUGGUUAAGAUCCGACAUUCCCAAUGUCGAAGACCCGGGUCCGAUUCCCGGUCGAUGCA
rnacentral:tRNA from 1 species